GGAGGAUUCCUUGAGCCCAGGAGUUGGAGGCUGCAGUGAGCUAAGAUCGUGCCACUGCACUCCAGCCUGAGUGACAGAGCAAGACCCUCUCUC
ensembl:miRNA